UACGUAGGGUGCGAGCGUUGUCCGGAAUUAUUGGGCGUAAAGAGCUCGUAGGCGGUUUGUCGCGUCGGCCGUGAAAUCUCCACGCUUAACGUGGAGCGUGCGGUCGAUACGGGCAGACUUGAGUUCGGUAGGGGAGACUGGAAUUCCUGGUGUAGCGGUGAAAUGCGCAGAUAUCAGGAGGAACACCGGUGGCGAAGGCGGGUCUCUGGGCCGAUACUGACGCUGAGGAGCGAAAGCUAGGGGAGCAAACAGG
rnacentral:rRNA from 1 species